rnacentral:rRNA from 1 species
UACGAAGGGAGCUAGCGUUGUUCGGAAUCACUGGGCGUAAAGCGCACGUAGGCGGAUGUGUCAGUCAGGGGUGAAAUCCCGGAGCUCAACUUCGGAACUGCCUUUGAUACAGCACAUCUGGAGUCCGGAAGAGGUGGGUGGAAUUCCCGGUGUAGCGGUGAAAUGCGCAGAUAUCGGGAAGAACACCCGUGGCGAAGGCGGCUCUCUGGGACGGUACUGACGCUGAGACGCGAAAGCGUGGGGAGCGAACAGG